rnacentral:pre_miRNA from 1 species
GCUCGCGCGCCUCCCACACGUGCCCUCCUAGUAGCGCGUUACCUACUAGGAACGCGCUACUAGGAGGGCGCGUGUGGGAGGUGCGCGAGC